UCUUUAGCUCUUAAGAGUUAAAGUGGUCCUCAUUUCUAGUAAUAAUUUUCAAAUUUUAAAAAAGCAUUCUUGGUAAGUGAAAAAUAGAAUCCGAAGAAACUAAAAUGCGGACCAAAAGAAAAUUAACUGAGGCAGAAACAGGAGGAUUGUUGCUAGUUAAUGGCUACCCUGGACUAGAUAGUCAGCUCCUAUCUCAAAUUAGCAAAAAAAUAGUGUGUUACAAUUUAAGUCUGACAUAAACACACUCACACUCACACACACACACACACACACACACACACACACACACACACGUUUCUGCAUUUGAACACCUGAUACUCCAAAGUUUUGAGGGGCUACCAGACCCUCAGGGGGUGGGACCUGGAUGGCAGAGAAGAAUCACUGGUCAGGAUUGAGGGUUAAAGCUGCGGGUCCACCAUGUGAGAAGUUGUGGCCUCCAUGGGUUCACUCGGCCACACCCUCCUUCUGUGAUGCCGCUCCCUCUAUGACUGAGACAAGAGAGCCUGCUCUCCCUGAAGCAGCUCCUGCCAGGUAUUUCCCUCCCAAGGAAAGUAAUGAAUAUAGCUGUCAGGCAGCGGGUAUGGGGGAAUAAAGGGGGUGGGAGAGAACUCUGGGCAGAAGAACUCCUCUCCACGUGGCCUCUGCCCUCGUGACCUUCCAGCUCGCCCGCUCCCUCACAGCUCCUGUAGCUGCGGAAUUAGAGGUGUUGUCUUCUCUGCUUGGUAGGACAUGUUAUUUUAAUACUUGGAAGUCAAAAUUGCAACAUCUUUUUCAUCUGUUUCAAGUACCACUGCGUGGUGUUCUGGUAAAGUGGUGGCAGCAGUCCACAGAACUUUGCCAGCCAGGGGAGAAGCUCUUUUGAAAGGUGUCCAAUCAGCUACGCAGUCAGGACUUCCAACACAUCCUCAGAGGGGAAUUAACUUCAAACAUUAAAGUGGGACGAACUCGUGAAAGGCCUUUUCCCUCGUGAAACCAUUUGCAUUUUUGCAAGAUAUUUUUAAAGCAUGGGACCUGUUAGCUGUGUAUAUCACAAAUGCAGAAAGCAUGAUUUCUUCAUAAAAGUCCUAAGAUGAGGGACCUGUCAGCCACCCAGGCUUCAGCCUGCCCCAAACCAUUCACCACCCUGAGAGAACCACAGCCCGACCUCCCCGCUUCACAGUCUUUUAGAUACAAGCAUAUUGGCACGCCUCUCUGUAGGAGACACUCACCUCUGCAGGGUUCACAGUUUGUGGCUUUUUGCCUAGCUUUAGUCUUUGUUUUGCUUGCAGGAUACCAAUAAAUUCCGUAAGAUUGUGGACUAGCGUGGUAGCUUCCUGCUCUUGCAGAGGACCAGAGCUUUGUUCCAAAACCCAUGCCAGGCAGCUCACUAACUCCAUUGCCAGGGGUAAUCUAAUCGAUGCACCCUCCUGGAAUCCUUGGGCAAGUGCAUAUUUCACACACAUACAUACCUGCAGGCACGUAUCCGACAAAGAUGUCCUAGAAAUAAAAUCUUAAGAAAGAGAAAGAGAGAGAGAGAGAGAGAGAGAGAGAGAGAGAGAGAGAAGAAAGAAAGAGAAGAAAGAAAGAAAGAAAGAAAGAAAGAAAGAAAGAAAGAAAGAAAGGAAAACUGAAGUCAAUGAUGUCUUAUCUUUCCAGCCAUGCUAUCAUGUAGGAUUUUAGGCAAAUCCUGAGUGUUCCAAAAACAAAACCAUUCCAGGAUCCAUUGUCUGGAGACUGGCUUCUGCCUGGGCUCCACUGGGUUCCAUUCCCAGGUUCCCAGUGACUGCAAAGUCUAUGGAUUCCAGGCAUCCAAUGGAGAAAUUUCCUUGCAGAGGAAUGGUACAAGCCACAGUUAUCUCUCCAGCAAGAUUUCUUUCUCACUUCAAACAAUUCUUCCUAAUCCUGACCCCUAGAUUGUCUUCUUCCCUCCAGACAUGCAUUGGUACAAGGAGCUAUUCUCAGCCAUGACUAGGGCUGUUUCCAUCUGGGUCCGUGCUAUGAUCACAUGGGGAUUAGAGAUAAAGUGGACCACCAUCUCUGUUGUAUGGGGAAUUCCAGAUGUUUUCACUCUACUGCAAAAGAAGUUUUCUUCUCAUUAACAAUAACUGUGUCCAUUGGCCAACCAGCCUGUUGAUGCAGGGUCUCACCAUCUUGCCAAACAGGCAGGCUGAGCAAGAAAGGGGAAAGAAGAAUUGCCCUGUUUGUGGCUGAAAAUGGGAUUUCAGAGGAGGCAGGGUCCUGCUGCUGCUCUGUGUCCCUCAGUUGUAGACCAUCAGUGCAUCCCAGUCACCAAUAAUCCAUACACGCACUGCGGGUCACAGAGUUACCAGCCAACCAAUGUCGGUUGUGCAGAUAAAUGUAAACAAGGAACCUCGUUUCCAAGGAAUCUCAUUCCCAAGCAUUCAAGAAAACUAGCAAUAGAUAUGAAAACUACGUCUUGGAUAGGAUUUCCUUUGAGGAACUUAGGUCACCAGGUAUGGUGGCAUUUGCUUUUGGUCUCAGCAGAGGCAGGGGAAUCUCUGCAAGUUCCUGGUUCUGGCUAGCCAGGGCAACAUAGUGAGACUCUGUCUCAAGAAAAAACAAACAUAAAAGCAAACAAGCAGCCAGAAAGUACUUCUCAUGUAAGCAUGGAGCCUUGAGUUAGAAUUCCCAGCCCCCACAUAAAAUCUGGACCCAGGAUUUAAUCCAGGAUCUGGAGAAGUGGAGGUCAAAGGUCACAGCCAGCCUGGUUAGCUGAACUGAUGAAUGUGGGAUCAAUAAGAGACGUUGUCUCAAAGAUAACAUGGGUGAGCCAGUGAUGUUGCUCAGUGUGAAGGCACUUGCCACCAACCCAGACAGUCUGAGUUCGAUCCCUGGGACUCACAGAGUGGAGGAAACAAAAUGACUCCUGAAAGAAAGCGGUUGUCCUCCAGCUUUUGCGCAGAGGCUGUGCUGUGCACACCCACACACCUGUAAGUAAUAGUGUAAUUUUUAAAAUAAGGUGGAGAGUGACCAGGGAAGACACCUAUAACCUGCGCUCUCUACACACAGAUACACAACUGUGGAUGCACAGAGAGUGGGGAAGCAAGGGGGAGGGGAGAGCGGUGUGGGGAGAGGAGAGGGGGAGAGCACACACCAGUAAUUAAGAUCUCAGUUCCACUUCCCCAUGCCCUUCAAGCAAAUAUUCAAGUAUUCCCCAGUGUGGGCUCUCCCUAGGUGGUAUUGGAUGGCUCCUUCUGACAGCUCAUUCACUCUGUCCUCUCUGGGUCACUUCUCAAUGUGUACAUACAUACACUCCAUGUCAACUGGGUCAAAGUCCCUUUCUGCUUUUCACUUGGAAAGAAAAAUAAAAACAAAUGCAAGGAAUGCAGAGUAGGACAGCAGCAGGGAAUGCCAGCCCUGGCCUUCAUUAGAAGAGCCAGCUCUAUUUUUACCUCAUUUGUUUACUUAGCAUCCUGUCACGGGACCGGAUCUCUGCUAUCCCAUAACGGGUGGAGCACGCAGCAUGUCUGCCUCAGUCAGGAGUCCAGCUGCUGUACGAGCAUGUACAUGUGCACACCUGCCAGAAAGGACCCUCUCUUCGGCUGCUGUUAAGUUCAGUCAUGUGACUGCUUGUGGACAUUAAUGCUCACUUGCUCUCUGUUUCUCUUUUAAUUAACUAAACUUAAUUCUGAA